GAUGAACGCUGGCGGCGUGCCUAAUACAUGCAAGUCGAGCGAACGGACGAGAAGCUUGCUUCUCUGAUGUUAGCGGCGGACGGGUGAGUAACACGUGGAUAACCUACCUAUAAGACUGGGAUAACUUCGGGAAACCGGAGUUAAUACCGGAUAAUACUUUGAACCGCAUGGUGCAAAAGUGAAAGACGGUCUUGCUGUCACUUAUAGAUGGAUCCGCGCUGCAUUAGCUGGUUGGUAAGGUAACGGCUUACCAAGGCAACGAUGCAUAGCCGAGCUGUGAGGGUGAUCGGCCACACUGGAACUGAGACACGGUCCAGACUCCUACGGGAGGCAGCGGUAGGGAAUCUUGCGCAAUGGGCGGAAGCCUGACGGAGCAGCGCCGCGUGGAUGAUGAAGGUCUUCGGAUCGUAAAACUCUGUUAUUAGUGAAGAACAUAUGUGUAAGUAACUGUGCACAUCUUGACGGUACCUAAUCAGAAAGCCCCGGCUAACUACGUG
rnacentral:rRNA from 1 species